rnacentral:lncRNA from 1 species
AGCUCAUUAUCUCUAACGAACACAUACUUACUGAUGAUAAGAACGACCUGCGUUGCUCUGAUAUCACACACACACACACACUCACACACACACACACACACACACACACAGUCAGUAGUCGACUGAUCGCCUGUAUGAUGGCUGGAAGCCUCCGUUUCCUCCUCCUGUCACUCUGUGUUUUGUUGGAACCUGUGACAGAAAUCGGUGGUUUGCUUCUGAAACCAGUUCUGUCUGGACCCAGUGAGGCCUAUGUGAGAUCAGAAGUCCAGUUUGACUGUGCAGUUCCAGGCUGGUCUUCACCUCUGACCUAUGAACUCUGGAAGGAUGCAGGGGACAUUAUUGCAGCAGAAAACAACGUCAAGGUCACCUUCACCCUACAGGUCACCGAGGGGUCAGAGGGCGAGUACUACUGCAGACUGACUGCCGGAGGUCAGACCAGCAACUCCAUCCACUUCCAUGCAGUGAUUCCUGUCGUAGGGGCCCGUCUGAGCUCAGAUCCCGAUCCAGCGAUCGUCUAUGAAGGACAGAAGCUCGUCCUGCGCUGUCUCGUCAGGAAGGGGACGCAUCUGUCCUUCACAUGGUACCACGACACACAGUUAGUGAACUCCUCAUCAGAGCUCCACCGGCUCUCCGGAGACGCUCUCACGGUGGACGGGGCGACUGAAAUGCAUGCUGGGAUAUACUCAUGCACGGCUCAAAACCAGAUGACCGUCAACCCCAGAUUCUCCAGCAGCCGAAACCUCCACGUCACUGUCAAGAAGCACAUAUCGGUGCCCUCGUUAUCGUUUACGGCCUUCUCUAACGGCUCCAGCCUGACGGCCAACAUCAGCUGCCGUUCUGAGCGUGGAUCUCCGCCCGUGACGUUCAGAUUGAUGUUGGACGGACUGGAGCUGGAUGUGAAGCGAGUGGAUUCACUAGAGUCCUGGUUCGUUCUGCCGAUCUCUGUGGGUCUGGAUCUGGGAACCGCUCGAUGUAAAGCACAAACAGAAACACAGCAGCUGCUGUCUGAUCCCGUGCGUUUACUCGUAGUUCCAGUAGGUGGCGCUGUGCGUGUCACAGUAACGUACCUCCACGACGCCGACGGGAUGGUGGCAGCCGCUCGGCUCAAAUGCGUCCCAGACAGAGGAACGUUUCCCACAUUCUCCUGGCGUCUGAACCGUUCCUCCCUUCCAGCAGAGGGCGACGCUCACACGGUCACUCAUCACGGUCAGAUCUUGAUCCUCACAGAUGUCAGCGCUGGGUUUUACCGCUGCAGGGUGAGGGACCGUUUUAACGACAGCUCAGUCUGGGUGGAGAGCAAGGACAUCUUUAUUCAGAAGACAGAUUUGGCAGCGACGCCCAUGGAGGUCAUUGCAUUGGUUUUCUGUGGUUUCCUGUCGAUUGUGAUCGUGUUGGGCUCAUUCUUUAUGUUCUGGAGCACCAAGCGCAGAAACAACAGCUGCAAACAUCACAGUAACCAGGACGUGAUCCAGUCUGAGAUGAUAACGUGAGUCUGGUUUAGUCUCUCUCAAGCUUCAUUCGGCUGUGAUGCUGCUGUAAAGAACGCUUCUAUCCUCUCAUCUGUUCCUCUCUGCAGAAUGAAUGAUCCUGUAGCUGAUGUUUCCUCUGAGCCUCAACCUGUGGAAAUGAAAACAGUCAUCAUGGAGUUUGAGGCCUAGAGGUCUAGACCAGUGUCCUGCAGAGACGUCUUGAAGAUUCUAGAAAUCCUGAACACUUUGAUUAGCUGUUUAAUUAAGGUGAAAGAUUAACUCUGACUGGACAUCAAUCACUUCUGUGCCAUUUUCCUGUUUUUAAAUUAUGUUUUCUAUCAAUGAGAUUGUAAGGC